rnacentral:rRNA from 4 species
CUCGGUGAUGAUGGCGGUAGGGACCCACCUCUUUCCAUUCCGAACAGAGAAGUUAAACCUACCAGCGCCGAAAAUACUGGCUAUGCCGGGAAGAUAGGUCGUCGCCGGGA